AUGGGAGCCCGCAGCCAACUUUGGUCGAUCGCCAAGAUGUCGGUGACCGGGGGUGUAAUCGGCAUCACCAUUUCCGACCGCUACGUCACCGUGGUCGCCAUAAAGGGCCAUUCGAUGCAUCCCACCAUGACGGCCACCGACAGCGCCUUGCGAGGUAUUCGUGGCUUUGGUUUCCACAGAUCAGUGCAGGCAUGGAGAGUUGGGUUAUCCUGCAAUCCAUACUCAGUGAUUCUGUGGUGUGCUGACCAGGUUGCUCGGCUCGAACCAGGUGACAUCGUGUUGGCGGAGAAGGCCUGCCUCGACCAGUACAAAUUCUCUCGCGGCGAUGUGAUUUUGUUCAAAUGCCCUAGUAAUCACAAGGAAGUGUUCGUCAAGAGACUGAUUGGCUUACCUGGUGAGUGGAUACAGCUCCCUGCGUCUUCUGAGAUAAUUAAGGUCCCACAGGGGCAUUGUUGGGUUGAAGGGGAUAAUGCUGCUAGAAGCUGGGAUUCGAGGUCAUUUGGUCCAAUCCCUUUAGGCCUAAUAAAUGGGAGGGUCACCCACAUCAUCUGGCCGCCGUCGAAGAUCGGCAGAGUGGAGAGAAAAUGGCCCGAAGAUAGAAUUCCGCCGUUUUGA
rnacentral:rRNA from 1 species